rnacentral:rRNA from 1 species
UACGAAGGGGGCUAGCGUUGCUCGGAGUGACUGGGCGUAAAGGGCGCGUAGGCGGCACAUACAGUCAGAUGUGAAAUUCCUGGGCUCAACCUGGGGACUGCAUUUGAUACGUGUGAGCUAGAGUGAAGAAGAGGGUUGUGGAAUUUCCAGUGUAGAGGUGAAAUUCGUAGAUAUUGGAAAGGACACCGGUGGCGAAGGCGGCAACCUGGUCUUUAACUGACGCUGAGGCGCGAAAGCGUGGGGAGCAAACAGG